rnacentral:rRNA from 1 species
UACGAAGGGGGCUAGCGUUGCUCGGAAUCACUGGGCGUAAAGGGUGCGUAGGCGGGUCUUUAAGUCAGGGGUGAAAUCCUGGAGCUCAACUCCAGAACUGCCUUUGAUACUGAGGAUCUUGAGUUCGGGAGAGGUGAGUGGAACUGCGAGUGUAGAGGUGAAAUUCGUAGAUAUUCGCAAGAACACCAGUGGCGAAGGCGGCUGCCUGGACCUCUGCUGACGCUGAGGCGCGAAAAGCGGUGGGG